ensembl:snRNA U6 U6 spliceosomal RNA
GUGUUCACUUCAGCAGCACAUAUUCUAAAAUUCAAAUGAUACAGAGAAGAUUAGCAUGGCCCCUGUGAAACGAUAACACACAAAUUUGUGAAUCGUUCCAUAUGUUU